UACGUAGGGUGCAAGCAUUAAUCGGAUUUAUUGGGCGUAAAGGGCGCGUAGGCGGAAAUGCCAGUCAGAUGUGAAAUCCCGGGGCUCAACCCCGGAACAGCAUUUGAAACUACAUUUCUAGAGGGUAGGCGGAGAAAACGGAAUUCCACAAGUAGCGGUGAAAUGCGUAGAUAUGUGGAAGAACACCAGUGGCGAAGGCGGCACUCUGGGCCGGAACUGACGCUGAGGAGCGAAAGCGUGGGGAGCGAACAGG
rnacentral:rRNA from 1 species